GCACGUUUGACCGAGUGGUUAAGGUGUGUGACUCAAGCUUGCUUCCGCUUCCCUGAUUCCAGGGUUUUCACAUGGUCUCCGUACCGCGCAGGUUCGAAUCCUGCAGCGUGCA
rfam:Cryptococcus amylolentus CBS 6039 supercont1.13, whole genome shotgun sequence.